AAGAACACAGGGAUUGCCUUAGUAACGGCGAGUGAAGCGGCAAUAGCUCAAAUUUGAAAUCUGGCGCUUGCGUCCGAGUUGUAAUUUGUAGAGGAUGAUUUUGGUUAGGUACCUUUCGAGUUCCUUGGAACAGGACGCCUUAGAGGGUGAGAGCCCCGUACGAUUGGAUGCCGAGCCUCUGUAAAUCUCCUUCGACGAGUCGAGUAGUUUGGGAAUGCUGCUCUAAAUGGGAGGUAAAUUUCUUCUAAAGCUAAAUACCGGCCAGAGACCGAUAGCGCACAAGUAGAGUGAUCGAAAGAUGAAAAGCACUUUGAAAAGAGGGUUAAAUAGCACGUGAAAUUGUUGAAAGGGAAGGAUUUAUGACCAGACUUUUUCUAGGAGAAUCAUCCGGUGUUCUCACCGGUGCACUUCUUUUAGUUUAGGCCAGCAUCGACUUUCGGCGGUGGAUAAAAGCUUUAGGAAUGUGGCUUCUCUCGGGAAGUGUUAUAGCCUAUUGUAUAAUACACUGCUGGGGGUCGAGGUACGCGCUUCUGCAAGGAUGCUGGCGUAAUGGUUAUCAAUCACCCGUCUUGAAACACGGACCAAGGAGUCGAACAUUUGUGCGAGUGUUUGGGUGUUAAACCCUCACGCGUAAUGAAAGUGAACGGAGGUGAGAGCCCUUACGGGUGCAUCAUCGACCGAUCCUGAUGUUUUCGGAUGGAUUUGAGUAAGAGCAUAAAUGUUCGGACCCGAAAGAUGGUGAACUAUGCGUGGAUAGGGUGAAGCCAGAGGAAACUCUGGUGGAGGCUCGCAGCGGUUCUGACGUGCAAAUCGAUCGUCAAAUCUGCGCAUGGGGGCGAAAGACUAAUCGACCA
rnacentral:rRNA from 1 species